GGAAGGGCAUUUUAGUCCAAGCCCAACUCCCAAAGCCACUUGACUGUUGGGAGUCCCAAAGCAACAGCCCAACAGUGGGAGUUGGGUGGUGCAGGUCUUGGGAGUUGGGUUGUACCCAACUCCCAAGUCCCUGCCUGGGCCAGGCUCGGGAGGGCCUGGCCACACGGGCCGAGCCGUGCCGGGCCGGGCCUGGGUACUCUCUAGGCCCGGCACGGCCUAGGCCUAUGUCGUGCCGGGCUAUCGGGCCGCGGGAGCAAAGCCCAGCACAGCCCGAUUUAACUGGCCGGGCCGGGCUAGCACGGCACGCUACAGUACUCGUGCCGGGCGGGCCGCGAGCCGCCCGGCCCGUUUGACACCCCUACCCCCAUGUAUACCCCUCUAACUAAGGCCAUUUUGCAUAAAAGCCCCUCACCUUUCAUCUCUGUGCACUGCCCUUACUGGGCCUUCUGGCGCUGAGGGACCGGUCUCCCCGACUUGGGACCGGUAGCUUCAGCUCGGGUCACGCGUUCGGGUACCGGUCUCUCCCAGAGAGACCAGUCCUCGGGAGACCGGUUCCUUCCUGAGAGACCGGUUCCCGAGAGCUAUGUUUUCAAGACUUAGCCAAAUUCUGGCCUUUCUCGCUGGGGUCACGUUCAGGGACCGGUUGCAUCAAACUGUUAAGGAUUUUAUAGGUUGGCGAAUUUCGUAAAGUUGUUUGGAGUCUUGAAGAGUUGAUCGCAGAAGUUUUUGAGAAAAGAUUCA
rnacentral:lncRNA from 1 species